rnacentral:rRNA from 1 species
CCUACGGGCGGCAGCAGUGGGGAAUAUUGGACAAUGGGGGCAACCCUGAUCCAGCCAUGCCGCGUGUGUGAAGAAGGCCCUCGGGUUGUAAAGCACUUUCAGUGAGGAAGAACGCCUGGUGGUUAAUACCCAUCAGGAAAGACAUCACUCACAGAAGAAGCACCAGCUAACUCCGUGCCAGCAGCCGCGGUAAUACGGAGGGUGCGAGCGUUAAUCGGAAUUACUGGGCGUAAAGCGCGCGUAGGUGGCUUGAUAAGCCGGUUGUGAAAGCCCCGGGCUCAACCUGGGAACGGCAUCCGGAACUGUCAAGCUAGAGUGCAGGAGAGGAAGGUAGAAUUCCCGGUGUAGCGGUGAAAUGCGUAGAGAUCGGGAGGAAUACCAGUGGCGAAGGCGGCCUUCUGGACUGACACUGACACUGAGGUGCGAAAGCGUGGGUAGCAAACAGGAUUAGAUACCCUGGUAGUC